UAAUUAUUAGCUAAUUGGCUGGGAUGUAUCUCAUUUGUAACAAAUGAGGAGAGGAAGGCUCUGAGGCUGUGGCUGGUGGAGGCGGAGCUGUUUAACUCCUGGUUGAGCUGGCAUAAGAAGUUGCUAUCCUGGUCUCUGGGAGGGGGCUCUGUGGUGUGGUGAUGCCUUAUCGAGGUGUGUGUCCACAAGGAUUGGUGGGUGUCACCUGCAGGCUGUCACCCACCAGCCUUUCUUGCUCAUGGACCAGGCUUUUGGAGAUUGCCUGCCACGGUGCUUCAUGGGCUGAUGCCCUCAGCAAGACAGCAGUCAGGGUGUGCUGGACUCGUGGAGACCUCCCUGUGCAGAGAGGAAGCCUUGCCAGCACCUGGCUGUCCUAAGCAUCCAUUUACAGACCUG
rnacentral:lncRNA from 1 species